CCUAUUCUCCUUCGACUUCUCUGUUUCUCCUCUGCUCCUCGCGAUCUCAGACGUCACGCGACCGAGACCGGCGACUUCUUCUUCUCUUGGUGGCGCCGGCGAGGAGGGGACCUCGGAGCUUCGAGAAGAAGAGAGCGAUAGAUCUCAAUCGGUGGUUUUCGCCGGCUGUCGGGAGGGAAUCAAGGGCGCCGACAUUUGGAUCUGGGCAGCAUCGGCCGAGUAGAAGAGGUAACAACCAUUGUCCCUUCCCGAUCUCUUCCCCGGUUCGUCGGCAAGAACGGAUCGUGCCCUACCCGGGAUUCUUGGAGGGUUCCCGAUCUCCUUCUCUGUUCGUCAACAAGAACAGAAUAUGCCCUAGCCGCGAUUAGUGGAGUUUGAAAAGCAGAGUUUGGUGUUUGAUUUCUGGCCACCACAGCUCGGUCGGAUUGAUCUCCUCAUCAGAUCUGUGAUUACCUCCGACGAUUGAAGGGUGAAGAGGACCUUGAUCGCUACGAGCAGCGUGACGUGGGGUGGUUCUGUUGAUUGCGGGAUAUAUCGAGGCGGGUAUUUCUUUCUUAAUUUCUAUUUUAGUUCUUUGAACUUUAAAAGCAUGGUUAUAUUUGGAUAAGUAGGUUGCAUUCCUUAAAUCAGAUUAUUUGUUGUUUUCCUACUUGUCACUUUUGCUUGAUCUUUGAUAUGAUCUGGGUCGAUUCUUUACAGUCUCCAUUCUAGUUAUCUGUGACUCAAUUGGUUAUACACAUGUAGGUGUUGUAGGGAUGACUGUAUUGGAUAUUUGUGGUCUAUACCUGUCUAGGUUGUGAUUGGUACGUGUUAUGGGUUGUACAUGAUUAACAUUCCAUUUGCAUAGUGGUAUGUGUAGUUACGUCUGUUAUGGGUAUUGGAGGUGUUUAUGAGAUUUGAG